rnacentral:rRNA from 1 species
GACGUAGGGCGCGAGCGUUGUCCGGAUUUAUUGGGCGUAAAGAGCUCGUAGGCGGCUUGUCGGCGUUCGACUGUGAAAUCCCGAGGCUCAACUUCGGGCUUGCAGUCGAUACGGGCAGGCUAGAGUUCGGUAGGGGAGACUGGAAUUCCUGGUGUAGCGGUGAAAUGCGCAGAUAUCAGGAGGACACCGAUGGCGAAGGCAGGUCUCCUGGGCCGAUACUGACGCUGAGGAGCGAAAGCGUGGGAGCGAACAGG